GACGAACGCUGGCGGCGUGCUUAACACAUGCAAGUCGAACGGGCCCGCCCCUGUUUUUGGGGGUGGGUUGAGUGGCGAACGGGUGAGUAUCACGUGAGUAACCUGCCCCCUGCUCCUGGAUAACUGCUUGAAAGGGCGGCUAAUACGGGGUGUGCCGGCUGGUCCGCAUGGGCCUGGUCGGGAUAGUUUCAUCUUCGGGUGUUUCGGUGGGGGAUGGGCUCGCGGCCUAUCAGCUUGUUGGUGGGGUGAUGGCCCACCAAGGCGGUGUCGGGUAGCCGGCCUGAGCGGGUGGGCGGCCACAGUGGGACCGAGACACGGCCCAGACUACUGCGGGAGGCAGCAGUGGGGGGUAUUGCACAAUGGGCGGAAGCUCGAUGCAGCGGCGUCGCGUGAGGGAUGGAGGCCGUCGGGUUGUGACCCUCUUUCUCCGGUGGUGAAGGCCCUGUCCGUUGCGGCGGGGUUGACGGUAGCCGGGUAUGAAGCGCCGGCUAACUACGUG
rnacentral:rRNA from 1 species